GACUCUCGGCAACGGAUAUCUCGGCUCUCGCAUCGAUGAAGAACGUAGCGAAAUGCGAUACUUGGUGUGAAUUGCAGAAUCCCGUGAACCAUCGAGUCUUUGAACGCAAGUUGCGCCCGAAGCCUUCUGGCUGAGGGCACGCCUGCCUGGGCGUCACGCAUCG
rnacentral:rRNA from 1 species